UGGGGAAUUUUGGACAAUGGGCGAAAGCCUGAUCCAGCAAUGCCGCGUGUGUGAAGAAGGCCUUCGGGUUGUAAAGCACUUUUGUCCGGAAAGAAAUCCUUGGCUCUAAUACAGUCGGGGGAUGACGGUACCGGAAGAAUAAGCACCGGCUAACUACGUGCCAGCAGCCGCGGUAAUACGUAGGGUGCAAGCGUUAAUCGGAAUUACUGGGCGUAAAGCGUGCGCAGGCGGUUUGCUAAGACCGAUGUGAAAUCCCCGGGCUCAACCUGGGAACUGCAUUGGUGACUGGCAGGCUAGAGUAUGGCAGAGGGGGUAGAAUUCCACGUGUAGCAGUGAAAUGCGUAGAGAUGUGGAGGAAUACCGAUGGCGAAGGCAGCCCCCUGGGCCAAAUACUGACGCUCAUGCACGAAAGCGUGGGGAGCAAACAGGAUUAGAUACCCUGGUAGUCCACGCCCUAAACGAUGUCAACUAGUUGUUGGGGAUUCAUUUCCUUAGUAACGUAGCUAACGCGUGAAGUUGACCGCCUGGGGAGUACGGUCGCAAGAUUAAAA
rnacentral:rRNA from 1 species